CCAGACUCCUACGGGAGGCAGCAGUGGGGAAUUUUGCGCAAUGGGGGAAACCCUGACGCAACAACGCCGCGUGCGGGACGAAGGCCUUCGGGUUGUAAACCGCUUUCAGCAGGGACGAAUUCCGACGGUACCUGCAGAAGAAGCCCCGGCUAACUACGUGCCAGCAGCCGCGGUAAUACGGAGGGUGCGAGCGUUAAUCGGAAUUACUGGGCGUAAAGCGCUCGUAGGCGGUAUGUCAAGUCAAGGGUGAAAUCCCCGCGCUCAACGUGGGAACUGCCUUUGAAACUGGCAAACUGGAGUGUGUGAGAGGAUAGUGGAAUUCCAGGUGUAGGAGUGAAAUCCGUAGAUAUCUGGAGGAACAUCAGUGGCGAAGGCGACUAUCUGGCACAUAACUGACGCUGAGGAGCGAAAGCGUGGGUAGCAAACAGGAUUAGAUACCCGUGUAGAA
rnacentral:rRNA from 1 species